rnacentral:rRNA from 1 species
GAUGAACGCUGGCGGCGUGCCUAAUACAUGCCAGUCGAGCGAACGGACGAGAAGCUUGCUUCUCUGAUGUUAGCGGCGGACGGGUGAGUAACACGUGGAUAACCUACCUAUAAGACUGGGAUAACUUCGGGAAACCGGAGCUAAUACCGGAUAAUAUUUUGAACCGCAUGGUUCAAAAGUGAAAGACGGUCUUGCUGUCACUUAUAGAUGGAUCCGCGCUGCAUUAGCUAGUUGGUAAGGUAACGGCUUACCAAGGCAACGAUGCAUAGCCGACCUGAGAGGGUGAUCGGCCACGCUGGAACUGAGACACGGUCCAGACUCCUACGGGAGGCAGCAGUAGGGAAUCUUCCGCAAUGGGCGAAAGCCUGACGGAGCAACGCCGCGUGAGUGAUGAAGGUCUUCGGAUCGUAAAACUCUGUUAUUAGGGAAGAACAUAUGCGUAAGUAACUGUGCACAUCUUGACGGUACCUAAUCAGAAAGCCACGGCUAACUACGUG